rnacentral:rRNA from 1 species
AAACGACUCUCGGCAACGGAUAUCUCGGCUCACGCAUCGAUGAAGAACGUAGCAAAAUGCGAUACUUGGUGUGAAUUGCAGAAUCCCGUGAACCAUCGAGUUUUUGAACGCAAGUUGCGCCCGAAGCCUCUGGUUGAGGGCACGCCUGCCUGGGCGUCACGCAUCACG